GGAGAGAUAGCUCAGUAGGUAUGAGUGCUUGCUGCACAAGCAUGAGGUCCUGAGUUCAAAUCCCAGUACCUACC
rnacentral:tRNA from 1 species